UACGUAGGGGGCAAGCGUUGUCCGGAUGUAUUGGGCGUAAAGAGCGUGUAGGCGGCCGUACAGGUCAGCUGUGAAAACUCGAGGCUCAACCUCGAGACGUCGGUUGAAACCGUACGGCUAGAGUCCGGAAGAGGAGAGUGGAAUUCCCGGUGUAGCGGUGAAAUGCGCAGAUAUCGGGAAGAACACCCGUGGCGAAGGCGGCUCUCUGGGACGGUACUGACGCUGAGACGCGAAAGCGUGGGGAGCGAACAGG
rnacentral:rRNA from 1 species